AUAAAUAAGCGGUGGAAAAGAAACCAAAUGGGAUUUCCUGAGUAACGGCGAGCGAAAGGGAAAUAGUCCAGCGCCAAGUCUUGACACAUGACGUGCUCAAGAGAUGCGGCGUUAAUGUAUUGGCGCAUCAUACAUUGCUAUCUGUUUCAAGUUCCUUUGACUAGGACGUCCAGAGCGGGUGCUAGGCCCAUAGAAACAGGAAGCCGAUGUAUGCAGGCUAAUACAUAGUAGAGUCAAGUUGCUUGAGAGUGCAGCUUAAAGUGGGUGGUAAACUCCAUCUAAGACUAAAUAUGACAGCGAGACCGAUAGCAAACAAGUACCGUGAGGGAAAGUUGCAAAGCACUUUGAAGAGAGAGUUCAAUAGUACGUGAAACCACUGGGAGGCAAACAGAUGGAACCACGAAGUGUGCGCUUCGGGCGAUUCAAUCAGUCCCAAGCUAUUAGCAUGAAGCAAUGGAUCUUUUAGGAGAUUGUGCUUUCAUGCGAAUAAAAGAUUGGUGCUGGUGCAUUUCGUUCCGAAGAUGGCAAGCCACGUUCGAUUAGAGAGUUGGGAUGGCUGUAGGGUAGAUUCGAGAAAGGUGACCGUUAAAAUGCUUGCAUUUGGCGGUGUUAUAGUCUCGAAUUGAGACCGUCACCAAACAUACUGAUCGAUAAAAUUUCUCCCAUAAAGGGAGUAGAGCCGUAGAGUGUGAUAGCUUGCUGGCCGAUGUACUAAAUGAGUCGUUUUCGUAUUUUUAAAAUGUGGAAAGGCUUAUUCUGAAUAUCGGCUAGAUUGGGUUGUCAUUUCAUAACUAUGGCAGAACUGUGGCGCGAGUAGGUCGGUAUCCAUCUGACCCGUCUUGAAACACGGACCAAGGAGCCUAUCAUAUACGCGAGUCGCUCGGUCUUGUUUAGGCCUGAGAGGCACAAUGAAAGUGAUGCUACGAGACUGUAAAAAGUUGCAGUAGCGGUCCGCUUACUUCGUUUAGAUGGCGAUUUGGCGGAACUGGAGCGUAUACGAUGGUACCCGAAAGAUGGUGAACUAUGCCUGGGCAAGACGAAGCCAGAGGAAACUCUGGUGGAGGUCUGUAGCGAUUCUGACGUGCAAAUCGAUCGUCAGACCUGGGUAUAGGGGCGAAAGACUAAUCGAACCAUCUAGUAGCUGGUUCCCUUCGAAGUUUCCCUCAGGAUAGCAGGCGCUUAUAAAAAUCAGUCUCAUCCGGUAAAGCUAAUGAUUAGAGGUCUUGGGGUUGAAACGACCUCAACCUAUUCUCAAACUUUAAAUGGGUGAGAUGGUUGACUUGCUUAAAAAUAUUUGAAGCCAACCGUAAGGAUGUGAGUGCCUAGUGGGCCAGCUUUGGUAAGCAGAACUGGCGCUGUGGGAUGAACCAAACGUCGAGUUAAGGCAUCAAAUGCUCACGCUCAUGAGAUCCCAGAAAAGGUGUUGGUUGCUAUAGACAGCAGGACGGUGGCCAUGGAAGUCGGAAUCCGCUAAGGAGUGUGUAACAACUCACCUGCCGAAGCAACUAGCCCUGAAAAUGGACGAUGCUGUAGCGUGGAGCCGAUACUCGACCGUAAUGAUGAGACUUUAUUAAAAGGAGAAUGCGAUAUCAUUACGAGUAGAAGGGCCGCAAUGAUAGCGUUGAAGUGCUUGGACGUGAGUCUACAUGGAGCUGUCAUUGUUGCAGAUCUUGGUGGUAGUAGCAAAUACUCAAGUGAGAAUCUUGAGGACUAAGGUGGAGAAGGGUUCCAUGUGAACAGCAGUUGGACAUGGUUCAGUCGGUCCUAAGGAAGCGGAGAAAUCCGUUGAAACGGUCGUAGAAAAUUUUGCAAUUUUUACAAUUUAUAUUUUAUAUUUUUAUGUAAUGUAAAAAUAUAAUGUAAAAAAAGAAAAAUUGAAGAUUGACGACCGAUUUUCCGAAAGGGGAUUGGGUUAAUAUUCCCAAACUGAGUCAUAGAGGAUGUACUUUCGAGUACUAUUGCGGUAACGCAAUCAAAUUCGGAGACAUCGGCAGCAGUCCUGGGAAGAGUUGUCUUUUCUCUAUAAGGUGUCGAAUCCAUGAAAACAGAUUGUCUGGAGAUAUGGACGUUGAUACCGAAGAGCUCAGCGACUCUUGCUGAGUCCGGUGCGCUGCUGUCGGUCCUUGAAAAUCCGAAGGCGAGUUUUACCUCUAUGGUCAGCCGUACCGAUAUCCGCAGCAGGUCUCCAAGGUUAACAGCCUCUAGUUUGUAGAAUAAUGUAGGUAAGGGAAGUCGGCAAAACUGAUCCGUAACUUCGGGAUAAGGAUUGGCUCUGAAGGAUGGGUCGUUCGGGCUUUGGUCGGAAAGUAGUUAGGUGUCUGACUGGGACUGGUUAUUGGGAACAGUGACUGGACCUGUGUUGGCACAACUGCUGGAUGGCCAUGGCUACGCCUUCUUGCGCGAGCUUGAAGUGUCGUUUCGGGCGACAUGAAACAUCUUACUCAGAACUGGCACGGACCCGGGGAAUCCGACUGUCUAAUUAAAACAAAGCAUUGCGAUG
rnacentral:rRNA from 1 species